CAGGCGGGAUUACCCGCUGAGUUUAAG
rnacentral:snRNA from 1 species